rnacentral:rRNA from 1 species
AACGAACGCUGGCGGCAGGCCUAACACAUGCAAGUCGAGCGAAGCCUUCGGGCUUAGCGGCGGACGGGUGAGUAACGCGUGGGAACGUGCCCUUUGGUACGGAAUAGCCCCGGGAAACUGGGAGUAAUACCGUAUGUGGUCGAGAGACGAAAGAUUUAUCGCCAAAGGGUCGGCCCGCGUUGGAUUAGGUAGUUGGUGGGGUAAUGGCCUACCAAGCCGACGAUCCAUAGCUGGUUUGAGAGGAUGAUCAGCCACACUGGGACUGAGACACGGCCCAGACUCCUACGGGAGGCAGCAGUGGGGAAUCUUAGACAAUGGGGGAAACCCUGAUCUAGCCAUGCCGCGUGAUCGAUGAAGGCCUUUGGGUUGUAAAGAUCUUUCAGUGGGGAAGAUAAUGACUGUACCCACAGAAGAAGCCCCGGCUAACUCCGUGCCAGCAGCCGCAGUAACAC